UCAUCAACCCCUUGUGACGCCCCGCCCCCCCAAUCUGUCGUGAAGGGUGGCCCCCAACUCUCUGGACCAGAUUUUGGGAGCGUAAGUCUGUUUUUGUGCAAAGUGAGACACUACAAAUUUUAAUAUAGCAUGAGCUUUGUGGACUGUGGCCCAUUUCACCAGAUACAGGUAGGAUUAUAGUUGCUUGCAAGUACAGUGGUACCUGGGUUCUCAAACGCCUUGGUACUCGAACAACUUGGAACCCAAACACUGCAAACCCGGAAGUAAGUGUCCUUUUGUGACACUUUUUUGGAAACCGUACAUGGUCCUUUUUGAGUGCCACACAACCGUUUUGAGUGGUACACUGAAGUCUGUCUGAUUUGCUUUUUUUUGUUGUUGUUUUUGCAUUUUUGUGGCUCUUUUUUUUGUGACCGUUACUGUGUGGAAUGCAGUUCGGCUACUGAUUGAUUGAUUGUGUGAUUGCAGUACGUUGUUUAUCGCUUUCAUUUUAUGGAUCAAUGGUCUCGUUAGAUAGUAAAAUUCACAUUAAAUUGCUGUUUUAGGGGGUUGUUUUUUAAAAUCUGGAACGGAUUAACCCAUUUUGCCUUACUUUCUAUGGGAAAGCACACCUUGGUUUUGGAAUACUUUGGUUUUGGAACGGACUUCCAGAACAGAAUAAGUUUGAGAACCAAGGUACCACUGUAUGUGGUUGCAGGAAAGGGGGUUGUACAGAGUAAGGUUGAAAGGAAAUUAAAUGCAGAAAAGGACAGAAGGUGAUAUUUAUCUCAUUAUCAAUGGUCUUCGUAAAAGCCAGUUGCUGUUGAUAACACAGGUAUUCUGGCAUCGGUAUGCCCAUUGACACAUGCAGUAUGUGAUUUAAAAACAAACAAAAGGCAACCUCUGUCACAAUUCCGUCCACAAGUGACAGAACUGAACUGCUUGACAAGUUAUAGUGGAGUAGUUUCAUACAGUAGCCUCCCUUUGAAGUUUUGCUGUUCCAGUAUAGCCAUUUUAAGAUCUGUUACAGGAUGGGAGGCUGAAAUGUAUGGUUCUGACAUAUCUUUUGAUUCAUGACAUUUCUUUCUAUUUCCCACACAAUAUUCCUUUUGAUUCAGAUUUCUGGGGAUGGUCAAACUAUUUUUAUUCGUCAUGUAGUUUUCCUCGGUAUACUUUGAUUGCUUGUGGCACUUCGGCGUUGCCAAGGCCCAAAUACUUUUAAGAAGUAUUUUUAUAUCAUGGGCUUACAUGUGUUCUAUAUCACAAGCUGACUUGUCUGUGCAGACUGUCAAUGUUUGGACAAAAGAGAAGGCUCUUUCUAUUAGGCGAGGUUUGCGUGGGGGGAAGGUGCCAAAGGAAAUCUGUAAACAUACAACAGGGGGCACGUUCCACACUCUCUGCAGCAACAGUGCUUGCCAUAGCUGAACGGGGGUUAAAUUAGCAUUUUCUGCAGCCAACCGGCAAAGUGUGAAAGGGAGAAGUGUGUUUCUGAACGACUAUUGGACAUGCUGAUUGGGGCAGAUGGGAGACAGAGUUCAACUCAAACUAGAGGGCUAUGGGAUCCUCAACCCUGCAGCUAGCAAUACUAGGCUAGAUCUGCUUUCCCCAAGGUGACUGUGUCCUCUGCGUGACAUUGGACUCCAAUGGGCCUGUCAGCUCCAACCAGCAUGGCCGGUGGUCAGAGACAGUUUUAGAGACUCAGAUAUAUAAGCCAGGCACCAAAUGGCUCCUUAAACCAAGGUUACAGUCGCUAAAAUGGAAUGUCCAGUUGCCAUUUUGGGGUAAGACAACGGGUAAGACAGCGGGUGGCGCUGUGGUCUAAACCACAGAGCCUCUUGGGCUUGCCAGUCAGAAGGUCGGCAGUUCGAAUCCCCGCGACGGGGUGAGCUCCCGUUGCUCCGUCCCAGCUCCUGCCAACCUAGCAGUUCAAAAGCUUGCCUGCGCAAGUAGAUAAAUAGGCACCACUGCGGCGGGAAAGGAAACGGAGCUUUCAUGCACUCUGGUAUCCGGCAUGGUGUUCUGUUGCGCCAGAAGAGGUUUAGUCCUGCUGGCCACAUAACCCAGAAUGCUAUCUGUGGACAAACACCAGCUCCCUUGGCCUGAAGUGAGAUGAGCGCCACAACCCCAUAGUCGCCUUUGACUGGAGUUAACCGCCAUGGGGUCCUUUAACUUUUUUACCAUUAAGAGGGUUCUAAAGUCUUAUUUUUCAACUGACUGUGAUUGAUUCUCAGUUAAGCAUCUGGCUAGUUCAGAUGACAAUCUUGAGCUAGGUUAAGAGCUCUGAGAACUUAAAGGAGAAAAGUUGUUCGACCCAGGGUCCACAUAUAUAUUGGCCUAUUCCGACAUCUUUUUCUUAAUGGUGACAUGAAUCAUUCAUAACGUGAGAAUAUUCUUCACAACUGUGAGCAGGGCAGUGGGGUUGGGGACAUGAAGACAAGCGACAACAAUUAACUAUAAUAUUGUUCACCGCUCCUGCUCAGGCUGCACAGAAAAAGUACUGUAUUUUCUGGCAUAUAAGACUACUUUUUAACCCAGGAAAAUCUUCUCAAAAGUCGGGGGUCGUCUUAUAUGCCGGCUACAGCAGCAGCUCCUGCAGCAACUCCCCACCAAAGGACAAAACGACAGCAAAUUAAAUCAGAGGACACCAAGCUCUCUAGAUGAAGCAGAAAUACGCUUGAAAAUUGGUCCCAGAAGCCCCCCCAAUCACUAGCAACAGAAUGACCCUAACCACUCCUAGUAGUAGACCACAUGGCCCAAAAUGGCGGCCUCGCAUUGCCCCAGCAACUAGACAUGUGGCCGCUGCCUCAGCCCAUGCAGCCCCCGCAGUAAAAGAAAAGGAAAGGCUCACAACAAAGGCAGGGAACCAACAACAGCAUUAAGCACACCCCAGGUCACUGGGAAGUGGAGCGGAUUUUAUUAUUAUUAUUAUUUGGUGUGCGUUGGAAUAAGGGUAGUGUUAUACAGCAAGUAUAUCCCAAACUCUAUAUUUUAACUGGAAAACUUGGGGGUCGUCUUAUACGCCCCGUUGUCUUAUACGUCGGAAAAUACGGUAUUUCGGUUCUUGAAAUUCUUUCUGAUUGUGCAGAUAAAAUAGAACUGAUAGAAUUCUACAGGAUGGGUUAUUAGUGUGUAAAAACAAUCGUGAUCUAAGGAUGCCCAGAUGGUGGAGACGUCAGGUGGCAUCCUGGCAACUGGGCAUCUUCACUUGGUUGCAAGUGGGUGAUACCCAGGUGCAAAAUGUGCUUGGCACCUGGCUAAUUUUGAACACUGGUCAGAGGAUGAUGUGAAUGCAAGGUCCACCACUAUCUUGUGGGCACCAGGUUGGAGAACAUUGGGCUACAUAGACAAAAGGUCUGGCAAAUAGAUUCUUGUCUCUAUAUCAUUGAAGCAAUCCCCAAGUAAAGUUGGUGUAGCAGUUAAUUUGUCUUUGGACUUUACGAGGCAAACACAGAUCAGGCCAGGCUUCCCAGAUCUGCGUGCAAGAGGGGUUUGCCUGGGCAUGUCUCUCACGAUUUCUAUAUUAUCUCUGAGAAAUAUCAGUAUAACACCAGCAUGCAUGCAGCAGUCAUGUCUGCCUUGUAAACGGCGGAGCCAUUCUGGAGAGAUAGCUUCACUUUGGGUUUCCCUAUAUCCGGAAUUAGUGUCAGGGUGUGUGUGUUGAAAAAUUGGUAAAAUGUCUGGGGUUUUGCCCACAGAACCAGGUGUUUGAGUAUCACUCUUUGCCUUUGGGGGGCAAUUUCCCCCAAAAUGCUCAACAAGUUUUUGGGUGAUUUUCCUCACCAAAAUAACUUUUGUGUGUGGAUUUUUACUUCUUGAAAUAUGGCGACCCUAUCUCAGCAUGCUGGAUACAGGCUUUAGAGUCACACAGGGCUCUUCGUCAGGUUGCAUGCUUUUGAAAGGGGGAGCUCCAAAAGCAGAGGGGAAUGGUGGUGACAGUCCUGCUCAGCUAUGGGGCAUUCAUAGAUCGGCAAGGUCUCUUGUAGACUGUAUAAUGGAGAAGCAGCAGCCUUUAAAAAAAAAAAAAGCUAUUCAUUGGAGUCAAUCAAGCCCCAUCACCGGGGUUUCAUUUAAAAUGAAGCAUACUGUGACUCUAGGAUGGGGGAAGUUGCGCCUUCUGAUAUGAAUGCCUUUCUGCCUAAGGCUUUAAUUAAGACGAUGUUUUGCAGGUAGGGGCUGGUUGCAAUUUAGGAUGGGCACUUUGAUGCAUGAGCAGAAAAAAAGAGGACGCCGAUUUGUCUGAAAUUUGAGCAUGCUCAUUCGUAAGUACAGAAGACACUUUAUUAGUAAUAAUUACUAUAAUUGAAUAGAAAUAAGUCUUUUGCUGUGAUGCAGUGACCCAUGUGUCUGCUCAAGCCGCUCUUUAUUCCGCUGCUCACUGUGGACGGGUAACAUAAAGACGUCCUCUGCUUCCUCGCUUCUGAUGGUUCUUGAACAGUAGACAGGAACUAAACAGUCCUGCAGAUAGAGGACGGUCUUUUGUAAAGUCACAAGCCCCUCAGCCCCAGUUGUGGUUAUUUGGCAGGGCUACUGACUGACCAGAAAGAAAGCCAUGCAUGGCUUUGUUAUUCUGCCUCUUGACAGCGCCUUGAUGUGCAGAACUCAGCAGGGGGAAGCUUUUCACAGUGCGGAGACGCACAUUAUCAGCGACCGGUGUCUGCACAUCAAGCUGCCGUUAAAAGCAGAAGCUGCGAGGGCCAGCUGAAAAAUGGCCAGCCCUGUGACUCUGUCAGCACCAGUUCAGAUAUACAGUAUUAGAAAACUCCUUCAGAGAUAGCCGGCUGAGCAGAGCCACAAAGCUCUGACGCAAUGCGCGAAUAUCGAGAGGAGUGGAGAUCGGUACACAAGACGUGGCCAAUAUCUGGGCCAUGGGUAAGCAAACCAAGGCCCGGGGGCCGGAUCCGGCCCAAUUGCCUUCUAACUCUGGCCUGUGGACGGUCCAGGAAUCAGCAUGUUUUUACAUGCGUAGAAUGUGUGCUUUUCUUUAAAAUGCAUCUCUGGGUUAUUUGUGGGGCCUGCCUGGUGUUUUUACAUGCCUUUUAUUUAAAAUGCAUCUCUGGGUUAUUUGUGGGGCAUAGGAAUUUGUUCACCCCCCCAAAAAAAAUAUAGGCCACCCCCCCACACACACAAGGUCUGAGGGACAGUGGACCGGCCCCCUGCUGAAAAUGUUUUCUGACCCCUGGGGCUGUUUGAGCUCCUGCAAACGCUGCCUUUGGGUGGUGGUGCCCUUUGAAAUUUGGCUGCAUUGGAACAGAAUGAUGACCCGCCUCUCCUCCUCCCAGUACUGUGCUUUCAGCUACAAAAUGUGUCAUCCUCCAGGGAAUGCAGUCUGCACAUGCUCAGAGUGACUUCCUAUCAUCUGAUGAGGCUGCCAUCUUCUGUUUCCAGAACUCCAACCGUUUAGCUUGAAUGCCUCGGCGAAUGUGGAACACGGGAUAGUUCAGUUGGUUGGAGCAUGGCGCUGAUAAUGCCACGGUUGCGGGUUCGAUGCUCGUAUGGGACAGCUGCACAUUCCAGCAUUGCAGAGGGUUGGACUAGAUGAUCCUCAGGGUCCCUUCCAACUCUACAGUUGCAUUUUUCUAAGUUGCCUUGUCCUCUUUGUGGUUAUAAACAAGCAAACCAAUAAUGUGCCUGUAAGCUUGUGCAGGGCCUCUUUUCCUUCUGAUAAGACGUAGCUGCUUAGCGCAUGAUGCAUUUGAGCAUGUGCAGAGUGCAUCCUCAAGGUACCACGUUUCUCUUUACUUUAAAUGCAUCUUGUGGUGGGGGAAAAAAAGAAAUAAAACCACUAACCAAAUUUCCCCCUGGUUCUUCAUCUUCCUGGGUAUGGCAAUUGGACUAGAAAACUGGGAAAAUUUAAUCAAAAUGUUUUAUAGAUGGUACUUAACACCUGCCAAAGUAGCUAAAAUGUAUAAAACAAAAGCAAACCUGUGUUGGAGGUGCAGUAAAGCAGAAGGGACACUUAUACAUAUCUGGUGGAGCUGUGAAAAAAUCAAAAGCUUCUGGGAUAUAGUACUGUAUAUGAUGAACUUUUAAAAAUGUUUAAAUAUAACUUUGUGAAAAAUACAGAAGCUUUCCUGUUAGGAAUAACAGACACAGGUAUAGC